AAACAGCAAAACUUUCUAGAAAACAACUUGAUUAUAUUUGUUUUGAUGGAUGAUACGAUAUGACUAAAUGGUGUGAGUUGUGAGAGUUAUGAUUAACGCACAUAAAUGUUGGUAUCUGACACUCGAACAAUUGGUGUCGAGUAUAAAUGAUAGUUUACUGAUAAAGAGUUUUGAUGAUUUUGAAUUGUUUGGUUUGCGUUGAAAAGAUGUCAAGAUGUUAAGUUUUGAGUCGAGAGACGAGUUCACGUAGUGAGAUUCACGCGUUGAAAUCUCGUGGCUGACAUUAUAUAUGAAUAGGUCAUGUCGAAAUUUUUAGUGAAAUUAGAAUUUGAGCAUAGUCAAUUCUUGUUGACCUGUGACUCAAAUACAUACCUAAUGGAAAGUUUAACUUUCUAAUUGGUUAAUUAGACGAGAUGAGAGCGAAUAGAUCUGCUAAGAAAGUGGACUUUUCGAUGUGUUAAAUAUUUCUUUUAAUUGAAGCGCUGCUAAUUAUAACAUAAGGAUGUUAUAAUUAAUGAGUAAUGACGAGAGAUAAUAAUUGUUAUAUUGAUUAACAAUCAAGAGAGAUGAACAUUAGAGAUACUAAUGUUUCAUAAAAGAAAUUAGAUUAUUAAUCGAGGUUUCUUUUAUAACUUCUCACCAAUUCUUCAUAACGAUGAAGGUCCUGUUGGGAAGUAACGACUUGAGGGAGAGAGUGACGUUACUCAUUGAUACAGAGACACAACGAGGUUGAGCUGAUGUGAUGAUGGUGCUGCAAUGAGCGGAGUCUCCAGGGUUGUUAAUAAAUAGUUAACCUGUCUAGAAUAUGUCUUCAUACAUAUGUCUAGCUACUUUCCGCUACAAGAUGUUGUUGAUGUUAUAGUAUGUUAUGUCAUACUUUGAGUCUUAAGAGAAUGGUUUCAUACGAUGUAUAACUUGAUUAAUGAUAUUAAUUAAGUUUUAUGCUGUCUUUCAUAGACUGUUUUCAA